rnacentral:rRNA from 1 species
UACGGAGGGGACUAGCGUUGUUCGGAAUUACUGGGCGUAAAGCGCGCGUAGGCGGAUCUGCAAGUCGGGGGUGAAAUCCCGAGGCUCAACCUCGGAACUGCCUUCGAUACUGCGGGUCUCGAGUCCGGGAGAGGUGAGUGGAAUUCCUAGUGUAGAGGUGAAAUUCGUAGAUAUUGGGAAGAACACCGGUGGCGAAGGCGGCGACCUGGUCCUUAUACUGACGCGUGAGGCGGCGAAAAGCGUGG